UGGGGAAUUUUGGACAAUGGGCGCAAGCCUGAUCCAGCCAUGCCGCGUGCGGGAAGAAGGCCUUCGGGUUGUAAACCGCUUUUGUCAGGGAAGAAAUCUUCUGGGUUAAUACCUCGGGAGGAUGACGGUACCUGAAGAAUAAGCACCGGCUAACUACGUGCCAGCAGCCGCGGUAAUACGUAGGGUGCAAGCGUUAAUCGGAAUUACUGGGCGUAAAGCGUGCGCAGGCGGUUUUGUAAGACAGAGGUGAAAUCCCCGGGCUCAACCUGGGAACUGCCUUUGUGACUGCAAGGCUUGAGUGCGGCAGAGGGGGAUGGAAUUCCGCGUGUAGCAGUGAAAUGCGUAGAUAUGCGGAGGAACACCGAUGGCGAAGGCAAUCCCCUGGGCCUGCACUGACGCUCAUGCACGAAAGCGUGGGGAGCAAACAGGAUUAGAUACCCCUGGUAGUCCACGCCCUAAACGAUGUCAACUGGUUGUUGGGAAGGUUCCUUCUCAGUAACGUAGCUAACGCGUGAAGUUGACCGCCUGGGGAGUACGGCCGCAAGGUUGAAACUCAAAUGAAUUGACGGGGUCAUAGCUGUUUCCU
rnacentral:rRNA from 1 species